GUACUUGCUUCAGUAGCACAUAUACUAAUGCUAGAAAGAUACAGAGACGAUAAGCAUCACUCCUGCACAAAGUGACACACUAAUUCAUGUACUGCAUCAUAUUUUU